rnacentral:rRNA from 1 species
GGCUACGGCUGGCGGCGUGUCUUAGCCAUGCAAGUCGAGCGGACUUAUGGGGUAACUUAUAAGUCAGCGGCGGACGGCGGAGUAACACGUAGCUAACCUACCCUCUGGACGGGGAUAACCUACCGAAAGGUGGGCUAAUACCCGAUGUAGUCAUCCUGUAUAGGGGUGAUGAAAGGUGGGCUUCUGUUUACAAGCUCAUGCUGGAGGAGGGGGCUGCGGCCUAUCAGGUAGUUGGUAGGGUAAUAGCCUACCAAGCCGAUGACGGGUAGCCGGCCUGAGAGGGUGACCGGCCCGAGGGGCACUGAGAUACGGGUCCCACUCCUACGGGGGGCAGCAGGCUAGAAAUUUGGGCAAUGGGGGAAACCCUGACCCAGUGACGCCGCGUGCAGGAAGGAGCCCUUCGGGGUGUAAACUGCUGUCGUGUAGGGAGAAGGGUACUAAGGUGAACAAUCUUAGUACUUGACGGUACUACAGGAGGAAGCCCAGGCUAACCUCGUG